ensembl:lncRNA
AGAAGUGUGCCAAGGGCAUAAAGGGGCAUGUGGGGCCAUGAGUGGGAGGAGAGUUUGGGGAGAGGGAGUCAUAUAAAAGACUUUGAGUUGCUGCAGUACUCCUGUGAGUUAGCUAUGAUGGUCAACCCCCACUUUCCAGAGGAAGAAACGGAGUAAUGGAGAGAGCAGGUAUACAUCCGAAAAAAUUGAAAACAGAUAUUCAAACAAAAACUUUCACUGAAAAGUUCAUAGCAGCACUACUCAAAAUGAUCAAAAGGAAGCAAUCCAAUGCACAGCUGAUGAACGAAUGAACAAAAUGUGAUAUGGCCAUACCAUGGAAUACCACUCAGCCACAAAAAGGAGCACGAUCCAGACACAUGCUGCAACAUGGAUAAACCUGGGAAAUAUUAUGGUGAGGGAAAGAUGCAAGACUCAAAAAGUCACAUAUUAAUGAUUCCAUGUAUAUGAAAUAGAACAGAAGAGGUAGAUCCAGGGACAGAAAGAUUGCUGACUGCCAGGGACUGGGCAGAUGGUUGAGUAGAGAGUGACUGCUUAAUGGAUAUGGGGUUUCUCUUUAAGGUCAUGAAAAAGUUUUGCAACUAUCUAUUGGUGACAGUUUCGCAACAUUGUGAAUAUGCUACAAGCCACUCAAUUGUAUAUUUUUAAAUGGUUAUUUUAUAUUACAUGAAUUUUACCAUGAUUUUAAAAAACUAGGGAUGGUGGUCCUCAUCCU